rnacentral:snRNA from 1 species
AUACUUACCUGGCAGGGGCGAUACCAUGAUCACGAAGGUGGUUCACGCAGGGCGAGGAUCUGCCAUUGCACUUGGGUGGUGCUGACCCUUGCGAAUUCCCCAAAUGAGGGAAUCACGACUGCAUAAUUUCUGGUUGUAGGGGACUGCAUUCGCACUCUCCCCUG